GUCCCGAUGGUGCAGCGGACAGCACAGGACCCUCCGAAGGUUCAGACCCUGGUUCGAGUCCAGGUCGGGAUA
rnacentral:tRNA from 1 species